rnacentral:rRNA from 1 species
UCGAGCGAACGGACGAGAAGCUUGCUUCUCUGAUGUUAGCGGCGGACGGGUGAGUAACACGUGGAUAACCUACCUAUAAGACUGGGAUAACUUCGGGAAACCGGAGCUAAUACCGGAUAAUAUUUUGAACCGCAUGGUUCAAAAGUGAAAGACGGUCUUGCUGUCACUUAUAGAUGGAUCUGCGCUGCAUUAGCUAGUUGGUAAGGUAACGGCUUACCAAGGCAACGAUGCAUAGCCGACCUGAGAGGGUGAUCGGCCACACUGGAACUGAGACACGGUCCAGACUCCUACGGGAGGCAGCAGUAGGGAAUCUUCCGCAAUGGGCGAAAGCCUGACGGAGCAACGCCGCGUGAGUGAUGAAGGUCUUCGGAUCGUAAAACUCUGUUAUUAGGGAAGAACAUAUGUGUAAGUAACUGUGCACAUCUUGACGGUACCUAAUCAGAAAGCCACGGCUAACUACGUGCCAGCAGCCGCGGUAAUACGUAGGUGGCAAGCGUUAUCCGGAAUUAUUGGGCGUAAAGCGCGCGUAGGCGGUUUUUUAAGUCUGAUGUGAAAGCCCACGGCUCAACCGUGGAGGGUCAUUGGAAACUGGAAAACUUGAGUGCAGAAGAGGAAAGUGGAAUUCCAUGUGUAGCGGUGAAAUGCGCAGAGAUAUGGAGGAACACCAGUGGCGAAGGCGACUUUCUGGUCUGUAACUGACGCUGAUGUGCGAAAGCG